rnacentral:rRNA from 1 species
ACCAGACUUGCCCUCUCAUAGAUACUCGUUAAAGGGUUUAGAUUGUACCCAUUCCGAUGACCGGCCUCUUGUGAGAACGGUCUCGUUAUUUCUCGUCACUACCUCCUCGAAUUGAGAGUGGGUAAUUUGCGCGCCUGCUGCCAUCCUUAGACGUAGUGGCCAUUUCUCAGGCCCCUUCUCCGGAGUCGAACCCUUAUCCUCCGUUACCCGUCAUCACCAUGGUAGUCAGGUACACUACCAUCGAAAGUUGAUAAGGCAGACACUUGAAAGACACGUCGCCGGUGCAAGACCGUGCGAUCAGCUUAGUUAUUCUGAGUCAACACUGAACGCCCGUGAGGGCGCUUGGUUUUGUGGCGAACAAAUGCGCUCCUCUCCAGCAAGGGAUCGGAGCUUUGGUGCAUGUAUUAGCUCUAGAAUUACCACAGUUAUCCAAGUAGGUUGUCAAGGUCAAGUAAAUUAAGGCUGGUGUAAUGAGCCGUACGCAGUUUCCCUGUCUGGCAGGUUAUACUUAUACAUGCAUGGCUUAAUCUUUGAAAUGAACACAUCAGUUCAGGCAGGAUCAACCAG